rnacentral:ncRNA from 1 species
GGAGGGAACGCGGGGAAGUGAAACAUCUCAGUACCCGCAGGAAGAGAAAACAACCGUGAUUCCGGGAGUAGUGGCGAGCGAAACCGGAUGAGGCCAAACCGUAUGCGUGUGAGACCCGGCAGGGGUUGCGUAUACGGGGUUGUGGGAUCUCUCUUUCACGGUCUGCCGGCCGUGAGACGAGUCAGAAACCGUUGAUGUAGGCGAAGGACAUGCGAAAGGUCCGGCGUAGAGGGUAAGACCCCGUAGUCGAAACGUCAGCGGCUCGUUUGAGAGACACCCAAGUACG